ensembl:lncRNA
UGACCUCUCGCUCCUCUCAACCAGCCAGUCGAUGUUCACCGGCUGGAGAUUGAGAGCGUAGAAAACCAGAAUAAACCAAAAGAGAAGUAGAACUUUACCUCCUGGACUGAUCCAACAAACUCCACCUGGACUAAGCAGCACAAACCAGAAGUUCAGGACGGAGGCCGAUUUGAUCUGGAGGAGAUUCAGCAUCUCCAGCAUCUCUUUCCAGGUGAUGUUUGGGAUGGAGAAGUCUUCAGGGAGUCUUCAGUUCUUAGCUGAGAUCUUUGGCAGAUCCUCUUUUGAUGUCUUCAGUCCCUCCUUCCUCCCUUCUUGUGGCUGAUGUUUCUGAAGGCCACAACUUUGAAAAAGCCAAAGCUUGGAGAGCGACAGCAGGCUGAUUCUGUGCCGCUCUGCACUCUGAUUCUACAGCUACGACUCUCAAACAGGCUGUGAGGAACAUCUCACUCUGCAGACACACACCUGGAACAUACUUAUGACGGCUGAAUUGCGCCACCUGCUGUUACCACGUGGUGCACGUAGGGCCCAAAGGACAGGGAGGAUUGUGGGUAAAUCCUCCAUAGAAUUGAGGAUUAAAAAGGAUGACACGUGAUGCCCACACCUCACAGGGGGCCACAGGCCUCUCCUACAUGUUACUCCCAUGAGCCUCGGCUCUAGUUCGCUGAAUGCGUCGCUCCACCCAAAGUGGGUGAAGUGAAAGUGGAAGAGCCGCCGGCGUGCUCCUGGUCCCUGAUUAUUCUGCAGAGCUCCACUAAGAAUCAAUCAAUUAAAGAAGAAGAGAAGCAAAGGUCGUCUUCAGCGACCCGCAGUGAUGUGAUUUCACUUGGAGGAAGGUUCCUCCCCCUGUUGCAUAACCAGUGGAAUGUCAGGUUUCCCUCACAGCUGACCUUUAGUAAACACACACACGUGUACACACACACAGCAUGUGUGCAGUCACACGCGUGUCGACUUCCAAACUCCUCGUUCUUGAUCAAUUAUUCAAACGUUACGCGUCGUGUCCGUGAGGCUUUGAGCUGAAUAAUUAGAACAGUCACUUCGUUCCUCCUUUUAAAGGGACAGUGACUCGUUCCUCCUCGACAGCCUCCAAAGUUCUGAGAGCGAAACACUUUCUCGGAGGAAAAGAAGUAAAUAUUGACUUUUAAACUCCAUCUUGUUGUGGAUGCACAGCUGUUUGUUCACAUGGAGCUCGAGGUUUUCCCACGACAAGGAUCACGAGGCAAACCGGAGACGUGCCACUUCUUUCAUGAGGCUGAGCUUGAUUUAGAACCUUGAUGACACAUUUGUGUCCAUGCAGAGAGAAUUUCUAUCUGUGAUAUUUUAAGGUACAAAUUCUUCUUUAUUAAACUCGGCCGGAUUGAAAUGUAAAUAAUUUAGAAUUCAACAUUUAUUAAGCAGGUAUGAAUUAUACAUUCAUGCAAAAUCUUGGCAAUGGGACUCCAUCCUGAUAUAGGAUAGAAGGGUGGAGAAGUCGGAAAAGACCCAAUGACUGGAGGGGGGGGGUCGUAUCGGA